rnacentral:rRNA from 1 species
UUGCGGUUAAAAAGCUCGUAGUUGGAUCUCGGCAAGUAGAGGGCGGUAUGCUUCGUAGCAUUACUGCCCUAUUACUCGUAGUUUUGCCAGAGGUUCCUGGGUGCUCUUAAUCGAGUGUCUAGGGAUGCUGGCAGGUUUACUUUGAAAAAAUUAGAGUGCUCAAAGCAGGCUAUUACGCUUGAAUAUUCGUGCAUGGAAUAAUAGAAUAGGAAGUUGUUUCUAUUUUGUUGGUUUUCGGAAAUCGACUUAAUGAUUAAUAGGGACAGUCGGGGGCAUUUGUAUUCAAACGACAGAGGUGAAAUUCUUGGACCGUUUGAAGACAAACUACUGCGAAAGCAUUUGCCAAGAAUGUUUUCAUUAAUCAAGAACGAAAGUUAGAGGUUCGAAGGCGAUUAGAUACCGCCCUAGUUCUAACCAUAAACGAUGCCAGCUAGCGAUCUGAGGACGUUUUUUUUGUAGACUCCUCAGGAAGCUUCCGGGAAACCAAAGCGUGUGGGUUCCGGGGGAAGUAUGGUUGCAAAGCUGAAACUUAAAGGAAUUGACGGA